UGAAGAAAAACUAAUUAUUUCUUUGAAUACUUGGUCUAGUUUUCUUCCCCAAGGAAGAAGAAAAAAAUAUUAUUUAUUUUUCUUCAC
rnacentral:tRNA from 1 species